UUCUAUUCAUUCUUUGGACGAGAGAGCCUCUGCAGACCACAUUCGUUCAAAUGUACCUUUACUUGGCUGGAUGGAGAAAACUGCUUCUGAGUACCACUUAAGCUUUAUUAUGAUAUUAAGUUCAAUGUAUAAUUGGGCUUAGGCCCUCUAUUCUAUCAAAAAAAAAAAAGUUCAAUGUAUAAUGAACAGGGUUAUUAGCAGACUAGAAGUUCGAAUUGCUGGACGGUUAAAUAUUUAUACCUUGAAGUCUUUAAGUGUAUGGUAAAUUUUAUUUUAACAUAUAAUCACUUUUAUAGAUAGCU
rnacentral:lncRNA from 1 species